AGGGGUUGUUAUGUUCUGUCCCCCAUGGUAAGUUUGCUAGGCAGUGGCUUACUCCUCUCUUGUUUCUUGUCCCUGAUGUUGUGCUGUGAUUGGUGCAGCCGCUGGACGAGAAAGAGCAGAGGAUCCAGGAAAGCAACCGCAGAAGCCGGAGAAGACGUCCCCAGGGCUUCUACGAGGACCAGAAGCGUAUGUCUAUCAUUAGAGCCUGGAUAAGGGCAGGUGAUGCAAGGUGUCUCGUCCUAAAAUCAUCUUUGUUGGUUUCGAUGAUUUUGCAGAUUCCUUUCAGCAAUCUGGGGUUGUUAAGAAGAGGGUCGGGAUUACCCUGGGCAGAUGCUUAAGUUCCUGGAUGUAAACGCACACUUGCCUACAUGGGCCAAAAUACUAUUUGAGGUGUGUGUGCAGUUCUAAUUUACUAACAUUCGUUUUUCUUUUACGACUGACUGCAUCCGACAAAUGAACUGUGUGGUUGCUUUCAGAUAAUGAUACUUGUUUUGCAUAUUUGCAUCUCGAAGAAGCUUGCCCACUAUUGUAAGUCAAAAUUUUCUUGGUAAGCAGCACCGAAGACAAAGAAGGCAUCUUGUGCAUGUUUUGUUGUUAUAGUAUAUCCUUCUCUUUUCUUUUUGACACUGCCAUGCUUAACGUUGUACUAUCUUUUACAUGGGAGAAAGCUAGAAACAUUAGAGAAUAUUAUUGAUAUACUUGGCGCGCAGUUGCAACUAGAAUAGUUCAAGGCCUGAGGCAUGUACCAAUAUAUGCUUUUUUGAGUAGCUCCAUAUAUAUAGGUCUUAUGUUUGAAAUGAAGUUUUCACUGUCCUUUUUACAUUUGUAUGAGUGUUCAGUGUGUCAAGUUCCAGUUGUCUGUUAUCUUCUGUGUUUUCAUUUCCUUCCAUUAACAUGGCAUUAUGUGUUCUUAUUCAGCUUGCUUGUGGAAAAACUGGUUCUCGUUCAGUUAUGUGUGUCAGUCUGAUAGAAGAUGGACACCCCUCUUCAAGUUGGUUUAUGGGCUUGCGGAGUGUGAGAAGUAAGUUACUAUUGGAUCCACUUUCUUGUCACUAGCCUUGCUUGACAUGUUCAUUUCUCACGCUACACUUACCAUCAGAAUUAUGUGAUUACAUGGAGAUAUACAUCAGUGCUUGGCAGUUAUUAACAUUAUGGAAGAAACUUCUAAUUAUCUUGAUUAUCUUGCUGCCACUAACUGUGUUGUACUGAUAACACUGAUAGGCUUAACUGAUGUAUUCAGGUAUAGCUGUGAAUAACCUUUAUCUGGACUUCUCAGAAAUUGUUCCCUAGCAAUCGAAUGAUUAAGUAUUGCAUGGUUUGAUUUCUCAAAUCAUUUUGUGGUAUGCACGGUUCAAAUUUUCCAUUUGGACAGCAGAGCUAGCCCACAGUGGUAGUAAAAAGUGGAGUACUCUUUUUAUGACUGACCUAUGCGUGUUAUUCACAUUAUGACAGACUGUUCUAGCUGUAAUUAUGAAUUUGGUGUUCUUGUCGAUCUUGUCUGCUUUUGUCGUGGAUACUGCCUCUAAACUUCAGGUGGGUUGUAUUGCUGAUGCCUUGGCAUAUGUAUUUUGAUGUGAACUAAUGUCUCUUGUGUGUGCUCCAGUGUUGAUCUUUUGGGACUAAUUUUUUGUAACUGUUUAUAGAGAUGUUUAAUUAGUUCCACAUACAUGCAUACACGAUUUGUGAAGAAAUUACUUUCUCUGCUUUGUUCUUUAAAGAUGUAUUUUCAAUGGCUAUUUAAUAUAGAUGCUUCAUUAGUUGCAUAAGCAUAUAUGAUUCUGUGAGCAAAUUAUCUUCACUGAUCUAUUUUAGAGAGAUGUCUGAUUAGCUGCACAAGCAUACAUGGUUCCGUAGGUAAUUUGUUUACCCUGAUCAUCUUGCUAUCCAGUUGUGUUGGUAUGGUCUGAAACAGAUUCACAAGUAUUUAUGAUGAUCGUUUGCAUGGUGGGUCGUGCUAGCAAUGUGCUUUGCAUAUACACGAUUCAAAUAUUUGUUAGGUGUUUUAGUUUACACAUUUCUCCUGAAAAUCUGUAUAUGUGUAUGCAGCCAUUUUUGAAUUGGCUAUGAUUCUUUUUAGUAUUUUAGUUUACACAUUUCUCUUGAGAAUCUUCAUUUCGAACUGUAAUAGUAUGUAUAAUAUAGGUUUGUAAUUUUUCCAUUAGUUGGUUCUUGCCCAGGUCUUCUGUUUCUAUACCAUACUGUUCUCGUGUCAUUCCCGUUAGUUCUUAUAGGGCCUGCAGAUCAGCUCAGUUUAUAUAUAUAUAUAUAUAUAUGCUUUUACUCCUGAAGACAGUUUAAUGAUGUUUAUUCUUUCAGUUUAGGAAAAUCUCUGCCUUAUAGGGCCGGUUCAUAUUAACAUGGAGGAGGUACAGAGGUUUAUUGCUUCUGUUUGUGGGCUGGCCUUGAGGGGGAGACCAAAGCAAACAUCAACAUGUUCAAGGUGCAUAUACUCUGCUACUUGUGUUCGUCUCCCUACCUAAUGUAGAGCAUUAUACAUUUUGCUCAAUAUAGUUAGUUACUUAGUUUACUGGAAGUUGUGAUAGUCAGAGCGCAUACAUGCUUGAUUUUACUUCAGUUAGUAGCUGUAUCCAGUAGGAACUUAUUUGUGAAAACUAGACCUGGAGAAAGUAUGCAGCCCUGUUUUGUGCAGAUAACUACUCUUGGUUACAUACUGUUGGCAAAUUUAGUAGGCUUAUACAAUAAGCUUCUUCAUUGAUUUUGUUAUUUGUAAACCUGUAGUUACGGAGAUCCAUGAGUUUCAUCGAACAUAUAAACGCUGGUGGGCAACCCGCCGUUCUGGGGGCCUUCGCGCGUGCACGAUCGAUGGCUGUUCGAUUAGCUUCUUUGAUCAUUUUUCACCCUUGAUUUUUACUAUUCACUUCGUCUUUUGUUACAACUUUGACUGCUUUACCGGGUGCCUGCCAUUGGGCCCAUAAAAUCAUUGGUCCACGCGGCAGCGGAGUGCUCGUCAACUCGGUCUGUGACCGCCCGUAAAAAAAACCUAGAUCGUCUGAUACUAUAUCUAUGGGGAUAUGUCUGAAGCUUCAGUAUGUUUUCCUCCUAACAGUAUUUAAUCUAACCAGUGGUGCAUCAGGUACUAGAUUGUGGUGAGAAAAUAGAACUACUCGUUGAUAAAGAUAGCAUGCUCGCUCACAUGUAUUGUGGUUUCACACUCAUAAAUCAGUACUUGGGCAUUGGCUUUGUUUAAUAUAUAUAAGAAUGUUAUCAUCAAACUGUAAUAUCUCUACUAAUAAACUUUAUGGAAGUGCACUACCAACUGAAUGAGGAGAGAUCUAUCUUCACCUGAUGAUUCCACCCCUUUUUACAUAACACUAGCUGCCGCACAGCAAAAAGUGUCUCGCAGAUGCUCUUUAUGACACCAACUGACAGAUUAAUGAGUGCACUCAUGGAGAACAUAACAAGGUAUUUUAGGAAGUGCUUGGACUAGGUUCAAAUUUUUGACAAUCUUAGGCACGCUUUUUUUACAGUGUUGGUUUCAAUUUUUUUUUCCGACACAGUUAGACUUUCUGAAAUACAGCCUUGAACUACACAUAUUCUGUACAAAGCUUGUUUAGUUCUCUAAAACCUGCACAUGUUAGAUACAGUUUGCGAGAACAUGUGCAGAUUUGUGAGAACUAAAAACACUUUUUCCCAGAACAUGUCCAUUGAUAGUAAGAUUGUUUGCCAUAGUGAAAGGAGACAAUGCGCUUGAUAUAGCUUGUCAUGAGAUAAUGAAACAAUAGUGUUUAUUUUGUCACCAGCAAGAUGAUGAUGUGAAGAAUGACUAUUUGCGUCAUUCAGAGUUUCUACCAUUAAAUAGUUUCCCAUAACAGAAUAUUUGCUAAUAUUGGUAGCUAAAAAUGAGAUACUUAUGCUUGUUGAUGCCUUCCCUUUUUAUAGUAACAUCCAUGUGUCCAGCAUAUGUAGAAUAUUAGAUUUUUCUUGGCUGUUUAUUGUAGUUCGUUCUUAGGGUUUGGAAAAUUCUUUAGCUAUAUUCCUUGUCUCAAGCGAGCAUGAGCAAUAUCUUCUUUAUUCCGCGUGCCGCCAAGUUUCUCUAUUUUAGAUGGUUGUAUCUUUUCGCUUCUAAAAAGGGAUAUGUAUUUUAUUAAUCUGACUAUAAUUUGUGGUAGGUACAUACUGAAGGAUGUUCUGAGGCUAGCACCUGGUUUGAAGUUUUGAAAUUCACAACAAUACCUCAUAAUUUUGAUUUGAUAUCCAGAAUGUCAAUUGAAGAAUGAGCCUAUGAACUGCAUUGUAUUUUGUAAUAUAUCCUUAUAUAUGGUGCUUGUGGCAUUUUUCUUGCAAUUAUAAGUUUACAUUUAUGGGUAUUUACAGAGUCCCCCUUUCUUUUUCUGCAAGGGGCAAGGGGCAGUAGCUGUGCCAUUUGAUUUGAAGGACAAAGAGUUGAUCACAAAGGGGUAGCAUUCAGGAUAUAUACAGAAGAGUAUAGAACCAAAUUAUAUGAUGUAAUUGACCACUAUUUCUAUUAACUUCUCUCACACAAUGUUCAUGAGUUCAUGUACAUUUUAUUGUGUCACUUGUGUUUACUCUUUUUUUUAAUGCAAGUUUAUAGCUACUCGGAGUUCCUAAUUGCAGGCUCAACUAUCUUUACUUACCGAUGAUCUAAUUUGUGGCAUUAUUACCUAAUAAGAAAAUAUUUGCAUUUAAUUUC
rnacentral:lncRNA from 1 species